rnacentral:rRNA from 1 species
AGCAGUAGCCGCGGUAAUACGUAGGUGGCAAGCGUUGUCCGGAAUUAUUGGGCGUAAAGGGCUCGCAGGCGGUUUCUUAAGUCUGAUGUGAAAGCCCCCGGCUCAACCGGGGAGGGUCAUUGGAAACUGGGAAACUUGAGUGCAGAAGAGGAGAGCGGAAUUCCAUGUGUAGCGGUGAAAUGCGUAGAUAUAUGGAGGAACACCAGUGGCGAAGGCGGCUCUCUGGUCUGUAACUGACGCUGAGGCUCGAAAGCGUGGGGAGCAAACAGGAUUAGAGACCCCCGUAGUCCCUGUCUCUUAUAA